rnacentral:rRNA from 1 species
UACAGAAGGUCUCAAGCGUUGUUCGGAUUCAUUGGGCGUAAAGGGUGUGUAGGUGGCGCCGUAAGUCGGGUGUGAAAUUUCGGAGCUUAACUCCGAAACUGCAUUCGAUACUGCGGUGCUUGAGGACUGGAGAGGAGACUGGAAUUCAUGGUGUAGCAGUGAAAUGCGUAGAGAUCAUUGAGGAAGACCAGUGGCGAAGGCGGGUCUCUGGACAGUUCCUGACACUGAGACACGAAGGCCAGGGGGAGCAAACGGG